CAUAAACCUGCAAAAGAAAAAGCUCCUGCUGUUAUGGAGACACAGGUUUAAUUUCCGUGAUGGCAGUCCCUUCCCCUCUCUUGAGAACAAUGGCUUCUUCAAGUUUUAUGCAACUAUGGGGGAAAAACACACGAUACAGAAGGGACAGAGUCCACUCUCCUCUCUAUUGGCAACAACAGUGUCGGAAACCAAAGUGCAUGGAACGUCUUUCGGGGAAGCCCUGGGGAUAGCAGGUGCCAUGAUGUCCAGCGUGUGGAGGGGGUGGCAAGGAACUGGAAUCUAGUAUGGAAAUAUGGCGUCUUGGAAGGAACAAUGGGCUUUGGAAGCUGAACGUUGUGAUACAUUGAGGAGAGACAGAUUUCCCCCUCUCACCAAGGGAAAAGACAUUCAGGAAACUUGUCAAAUCUCAGUUUCCUAUCCCCUACUUGCCAUUAACAGCACACAGUAAAGGAAAUUUUACAAGCACUAUGAUGCAGAUCACUAGGACUCCAUUUGUCUGCCUGGGCAGGUUCAUGGUUAAGUUAGCCCUAGCCCCUGGGAAUCUAUGGGGCAAGAAAGUCUAUAGGUCUUACACCUGAAGUCCUGAUGAAUAGGCCAUUGUCUUUCAAGCAUAUAACAGAAAGGCCCCCUCUUACCAACCGGUAGAAUAGAUUAGAUUAAAACAUGUCAUCUCACAAAAAAGUACCUCUCUCUCUCUCUCUCUAGUAAUAAUAAUAAAAAAUCCGCAUACUUACAUUGCUUUUCUUGGGCCUCAGUAACCCCAGGCUGUCUCUAGCCAAGGCCACAAUCACAUUGCUCUUUUCUCCUGCCCAGUGAACAACCAUCUGAUUGUGAGAAUCAUUCAGGCUGACCUGAAACACAAACGAAAUGAAUAUAAAAUGGUGAGCCAGGGCCCUGGACAUAGAAAUAUGUGGACAACCCCCACACAAGUCGAUUUCUUUCUCUCUUCCCUAGGAACGUGCGAGGAUGGAGAAAAAUGUUUGCAGGAACUGAUUUAAUUCAUAUAAAGAAACUGAAUGUUCAGUGUUAGCAUGCAGAUGUCUGAAUUUAGGACUAUGCCCUUGGCGGAUAGGACAGCUCAGGAACUGCUGCUUUGACACAGUGCACGGGUUCUCUAGGUCCACAUUUCUCAAAUGUGGCCACAGCCUCCUGGGGCUGCAAGGAGGGGUUGGGCCCUGCCCCUCUUUGGAGCCACAAGCACCAGAGGAACAGACGACUGGUGUGAGCUCCCCACGUUCCCGGGGGCGGUGGGGCUCAGGCUUCAGACCUAGGUUGGCGGGUGGCAGGCUCCAGCCAUGGGCUCUGACCAGGGGGUUUGGGGCUCUGGGUUUUGGCUAUGUAGUAGAGAGCUCCGUUUCCCCGGCCUCUGGGCUCGCCACCCCCUCUCAUCACCCCUGACCCCCCACUCCUACCUCCAGCCCCUCACCCAUCUACCCCAUCGGCCUUGGCCCCCACUGUCUCCCUGCCCACCUCCCCAUCCAGGGCUUAAUUUGUCCCCCAGCUUGCCAGGGCUGAGUAAAUCUGCGGUGAAAAGUGGUAUAUGUAUGUUUGUAAUUAUCACUCAUCACUGCCUCAGAGCUAAAUAAGUUUGCUCCUGUGAAAAAGUGAUAUUAACAAAUAUACGAAUAUCACCUUUUCACUGCAGAAGACAUACUAGCUAGCAAGUCUAUAAAAAACCAAAAGCCACAACCAAAAAAAAAACAACCAACCAACCAAAAAGGACAAGAACAUGCAAAAUCCCUUAUCUGUUUUUAUUCUGUUUAGGUCCAGUAAAGAGAAGAGACAACUGUACAUUAUUAUUGUUGAGUGUGCAAAUAAAAACCCUACAUAAAUGAAUUACUAUGAUUUGGACUUGUGUAUGUGCAUAUUUGUUUGUUUUUCCUACAUUAAUUAUUUUAGGGAAAAUUGUCAUAGUGGCCACCAGCAAGAUUUGGUGGCCGAACGCUGAGGCCACCAAAAAGUUUGUGGAAAGAACUACUGCUCGAGGUGGCCUGUUCAUAUUCAAUCCAGUUAGUAGGAAGUGGGAGGUGUAAUUCUCAGCUAGCUAUGUGGAUGUUUCUGAGAAAUAAAUUUGGAGGUGCCCUUCUACUGCUGUAGUACACACCACAAAAGAGUGCCUUCAUAACUGGUCUCCCUCAAAGGACUGAGGCUCCCAAAGCACAUACCUAGCUUUAAGCCCAGGGGCAGUUCCAUUGAUUUCAAGGGCACCACUCAGGUACUUAAGUGCUUUGCUGGAUCCGGGCCUUAAUGAGCUGUUAUGACUUGAGUCCUCCUCAUGCUGGAGGGUCUUCAACAAGCAGAGGUGAAGCAUGUUAACAAAGAACAGUGGUGCAAGCUUCCCCAACACUGAUAGCUGUUCUUUGGUUAACUACAUUCAAUCAGCAGGGUUGUGUGUAUAGUGCCUCUCGUCAGUGCUUUUUUUUUUUUUAAAAGAAAAGCAGUUCCUUA